rnacentral:rRNA from 1 species
AUACGGAGGGUGCAAGCGUUACUGGGAAUUACUGGGCGUAAAGCGUACGUAGGCGGUCCGUUAAGUUAGAUGUGAAAGCCCCGGGCUUAACCUGGGAACUGCAUUUAAAACUGGCGGACUAGAGUUGAGUAGAGGGGAGUGGAAUUUCAGGUGUAGCGGUGAAAUGCGUAGAGAUCUGAAGGAACACCAGUGGCGAAGGCGACUCCCUGGACUCGAACUGACGCUGAGGUACGAAAGCGUGGGUAGCAAACGGGAUUAGAUACCCGUGUAGUCC